rnacentral:misc_RNA from 1 species
UGUGGGAGCGGGCUUGCCCGCGAUGGCGGUGUGUCAGUCGCCAAAUUUAUUGGUUGUGCCGACCGCAUCGCGGGCAAGCCCGCUCCCACA